GGUGCUUUGCUCUCCUGGUGGCUUUCGCCUGCUCCCCACCUUGAGCUGAGGGGCGUCGAGAGGCGGUGGGCGAGGCCAGGAGUUUGACGAGCCGCAGGCAAGGAGCUUCCCGUCCCGAAUCCUGGACCAGCCGUGCCCAAGACAGAGGUGGGAAAAUAGGCAUUCAAGCUGAGAUGGUAAUGAUGCUGAAACUGUCAACUUCUCCAAAACUUACUUGCAGUCUUCUGUUUUGACCAAGUUUUCACACUGUCUUAUGAAAUCAGAAAAGGACUGUUGCCCGGAUGCUAUGUGCUUCAGCUUGCCACAGCAGUGCUUUCAAGGUGGCCAGCUAACUUUUGUGAGUAGGUGUGAGUAGAAUUUUUUCAUUCACUGUUAAAAUGAGUGACUGUUAUUUAGA